AUUGAACGCUGGCGGCAUGCCUUACACAUGCAAGUCGAACGGCAGCACGGGAGCAAUCCUGGUGGCGAGUGGCGAACGGGUGAGUAAUACAUCGGAACGUGCCCAAUCGUGGGGGAUAACGCAGCGAAAGCUGUGCUAAUACCGCAUACGAUCUACGGAUGAAAGCAGGGGAUCGCAAGACCUUGCGCGAAUGGAGCGGCCGAUGGCAGAUUAGGUAGUUGGUGAGGUAAAGGCUCACCAAGCCGUCGAUCUGUAGCUGGUCUGAGAGGACGACCAGCCACACUGGGACUGAGACACGGCCCAGACUCCUACGGGAGGCAGCAGUGGGGAAUUUUGGACAAUGGGCGAAAGCCUGAUCCAGCCAUGCCGCGUGCAGGAUGAAGGCCUUCGGGUUGUAAACUGCUUUUGUACGGAACGAAACGGCCUUUUCUAAUAAAGAGGGCUAAUGACGGUACCGUAAGAAUAAGCACCGGCUAACUACGUGCCAGCAGCCGCGGUAAUACGUAGGGUGCAAGCGCUAAUCGGAAUUACUGGGCGUAAAGCGUGCGCAGGCGGUUAUGUAAGACAGUUGUGAAAUCCCCGGGCUCAACCUGGGAACUGCAUCUGUGACUGCAUAGCUAGAGUACGGUAGAGGGGGAUGGAAUUCCGCGUGUAGCAGUGAAAUGCGUAGAUAUGCGGAGGAACACCGAUGGCGAAGGCAAUCCCCUGGACCUGUACUGACGCUCAUGCACGAAAGCGUGGGGAGCAAACAGG
rnacentral:rRNA from 1 species